rnacentral:rRNA from 1 species
AACGAACGCUGGCGGCGUGGAUAAGACAUGCAAGUCGGACGAGACCUUUCGUUGUAGCAAUACGAUGGAAAGUCUAGUGGCGAACGGGUGCUUAACACGUGGGCAACCUGCCAGGAAGUGGGGGAUAGCUCGCCGAAAGGCGGAUUAAUACCGCAUGUGAUUAGAGAGGACAUCCUUCCGAAAUUAAAGUCGGGGCAACCUGACGCUUCUUGUGGGGCCCGCGGCCUAUCAGCUAGUUGGUGAGGUAACGGCUCACCAAGGCUUUGACGGGUAGCUGGUCUGAGAGGACGACCAGCCACACUGGGACUGAGACACGGCCCAGACACCUACGGGUGGCAGCAGUCGAGAAUUUUUGACAAUGGGGGAAACCCUGAUCGAGCGACGCCGCGUGGAGGAUGAAGGUCUUCGGAUUGUAAACUCCUGUCAUUGGGGAACAAUGCGCAAAUAGUAACUGUAUUUGUGUUGAUAGUACCCGAAGAGGAAGAGACGGCUAACUCUGUGCCAGCCGCCGCGGUAACAC